AACAAUUCUAACUUCCUCUAUUUCUCAUUCCUCUGGAAAUCAACCUUUCCUGCCUGGGCUACUUCUGAAUAGCCUGGAAGAAGAUGCAUCAGCUAACUGAAAACAUAGGACAGCAAAAGCCAUCAGAAGGCCAGCAGUUCUCAACCUGUGGGUCGGGACCCCGCUGGGGGUCGAAUGACAAUUUGCCAGGGGUCGCCUAAGACCAUCGGAAAUAUGGGAAGUAUACUUGCGAGUCGAAGAAUCACACUCCAAUGGUUGACUCCACAAGCCAGCUGCAGGCUCUUCAAAUCGCUAGCCGAAUUCGGCUUCAGGCGCGAUGAAUUAAAAAAGAGAGAAAUCUUUCCUCUGAUGUCUCCCUCUCAAGCCAGCUGCAAUCAUUCCCAAUCGCUAGCCGAAUUCGGCUUCAGGCGCGAUGAAUUAAAAAAGAGAGAAAUCUUUCCUCUGAUGUCUCCCUCUCAAGCCAGCUGCAAUCAUUCCCAAUCGCUAGCCUAAUCUGGCUUCAGGCGCGAUAAACAUAAUAGGGGAGGAGUCUCCGCUUUAAUGCCUCCGUCCUCAAGGCAA